rnacentral:siRNA from 1 species
ACACUGAUUUUCUUGUUCGGGU